rnacentral:rRNA from 1 species
UACGUAGGGGGCAAGCGUUGUCCGGAAUCAUUGGGCGUAAAGCGCGCGUAGGCGGCCCGGUAAGUCCGUUGUGAAAGUCAAAGGCUCAACCUUUGAACGCCGAUGGAUACUGCCGGGCUAGAGUCCGGAAGAGGCGAGUGAAAUUCCUGGUGUAGCGGUGGAAUGCGCAGAUAUCAGGAGGAACACCAAUAGCGAAGGCAGCUCGCUGGGACGGUACUGACGCUGAGGCGCGAAAGCGUGGGGAGCGAACAGG